rnacentral:tRNA from 1 species
AAAGAUGUAGUAUAAUUUUUGUAUUAUUUAUUGUCUGUAAAUAGGUUUGUUAUCUUUU